CCCUUGGAGCUCGCUGUAUCGUAGCCCGUGAAGUUUAUCCGAGGAUUAUUGCCAGUUGAAAACUUUACACAACACCCCUCCUUACGUAUUUAAAUAUAGUGGGCUAUGGCAAUUUUAGACGGUCUCUAAGGAGA